rnacentral:rRNA from 1 species
GCGCGAAACCUCCACAAUGCACGAAAGUGUGAUGGGGGGAUCCUACGUGCUCAUGUCUGACAUGGGCUUUUGCCAAGGCCAGAGAUCUUGGCGAAUAAGGGGUGGGCAAGACCGGUGCCAGCCGCCGCGGUAACACCGGCGCCCCAAGUGGCAAUCGCGAUUAUUGGGCCUAAAGCGUCCGUAGCCGGACAAGUAAAUCUUCUGUGAAAUCGUUGCGCUUAACGUAACGGCGCGCAGGGGACACUGCUUGUCUUGAGACCGGGAGGAGUCAGAGGUAUGCCGUGGGGACUGGUAAAAUGGUAUAAUCCACGGUAGACCACCAAUGGCGAAGGCAUCUGACCAGAACGGAUCUGACGGUGAGGGACGAAAGCUAGGGGAGCGAACCGGAUUAGAUACCCGUGUAGUCC